UUACCAGGCGUACGCUAAUGAUCGUUUUUGUACAAUCAUUUCAGCCCUUGUGCAAGGUAUUUCCAAACCCACUCUCAUAAUCAUGGGAAUGAAAGCACAAGAACGUCUGCUGCAGGCUCUGAAAUGGAGAGACUCACAAUUAAUUUGCAAGAGCUGAUAGCAUGGAGUAAAUGAUUGGAUCCUUUUGCUCUGUGAUCUUUGGUUUGCAGGCAGUAUUUCCUUUGUGUAAGAUAGACUCCAUCUGGAUGGUUCAUGAGACAUGUUGUCAGCUAACACAUGGAUGA
rnacentral:lncRNA from 1 species